rnacentral:snoRNA from 1 species
UUAACUGAUGAAUAGGCUUCCACGUCUUUUUUUAUCCGACGAUGAUUCUCAAGAAUAUGUGUCUGGAUUAUACAUGCAUCACCAUCUGACU